rnacentral:lncRNA from 1 species
GAACAACCAAUCAAGACAAGCAUGUGAGAAAGCACUUGAGGUUGCGAUCGACUCAAGGUCGCUGCGCCUUCACUUCGAGGACGAUGCCACACCCCCAACACCACGAAGCCAACAUUGAGAAGGUCUAAAUGUUUAGACUUCAGCUUCAUAUAUUCAGAGAAAAAGGACACGAGUUCGAAGGACAUCUACUUUUUCCUGAAUACCAAGCCAUAUAUCAUGGAGAACGAUGGUAUGGCCUGUUAGCUUGCAGCAAUCUAAUUGGUAAAAAAUAAAUAACUUUAAUUUAGUAACUGGACCUUGUGCAUACUGUAUGUUUCAUAUAAAUAGUGAGAAUUAUGCAGUCCUAAGUAUAAUAAAGCAAGGCUGGUCUACAAGUCGUAUGGAGAUAGAGGGUGUACCCUUAAAACUGAGAGAGAAAACAUGAAUGAUCUAGUUUUUUUUUCGAACUACAAGGAUAUCACCACAUGCAAAUGUAUCCAAUGUGAAUGCAAACGACAGAUAAAAAGCACUGAAGAUCUGUUUGUUGGAUAAAAUGCAAAAACCAAUGUCGUAAAAACACGUUAUCAAUAUGGUGAUCAUACUUAACGCAUAUAUGUUGAAGCUAACAUAGUGCGUCGACACGGUAUGAUUUGUGGGAUUACCUUAAUUUUCAAAGUUGUGGUCUUGUUACAUGAAAAAACUUCAACAUUUGCCAGGGGCUACCAUUAAUUCUGUAGCUGUAUACAAGGAAAAUAUAUAUUAGAAUCAAGGAAAGAAGGUAGAGGACGCAGUUCAGUUUGGUGACUGGCUAAACAAUCAACUUUAAAUUAAAUAUCCUUUCAUGCUUUGUUACACUUCCUUUGUACAUUACUUCUGCAAUCUUUUUUAGAGCACAUACUUGUGUAAUCAUCAGUGAAAGUGAAACUUGACAAUCGUGCUCGAUCAAUCUUACAUACUCUGAACAUCGGUCCAUUUGUUCACUGCUUGUUGAUCAUCUGUGCAAGUGCAAACUACAGAGCUCUUGGAAUGUAAAACUUGUGUCUUGUGACCAUGGCCAAUUUUGUGCAUUACUCAGAAUGUACCAAAUUCAGUUGUAUCUACAGCUCUAAAACACCAACAUACAUAAUAAAUUCAUAUCAAAUUCAGUUGUAAUAAUCCAUAAAAAGCACAGGUCUUGAUAGCUACAUGGGUUGUAAAGAAACAUAAGAAACAAUGCCAGUUCAAUUCUACCUGGCGCUCUCAAACGACAACUUACCCUUGGUAAAACAGCUCAUGAAAGAGAUAAGCAUUGAAUUCAAAUCUACAGCAGCCAAGCAAAACUCACCUCACCACACCAAAAGGCUUUCCUUCCACGGCCAAACAUUUUGCCAAAGCAAAAGUGAACAUCAUUAGCUGGGCAGCAGCAGAGGAAGCAGCGAACAAGUUAAUCAGUAUGUUCCUUUUAUUACUCAACCAUCUACUUGCAAAUCAACACCUGCUGCACAUGAGGACAGAGUUUUGAGAUAAAGUUAGAAACUAAGCAUCUGAGAUCAGCAAUAACAAGCAAAAUUCAUAAUCUAAUGAACUGAUCAGCAUAAGAAUCACCUGUGAUGUGUAUGAACCAACCUGAAUUGAUGAAAUAUGGAGGAACUCACUCAAAAGGCUUGCAUGUCUGCAUUUCAUCAAACACAAGGUAUACACAGUCAAGUAAGAUUAAAAUCUAGAAGUCAUGGCACGAAACUAUUGGUUCCAAUUGAAGCAAGAUAGCACAAAAAAAAAAUUGUCCUUCCCAGAUUCAUAUCCCUUUCCGCCUCCUCUUCCUCCCCGCUCUCACCGGCAGUACAUACGGCUAGCGGCUAAUAACCACGGAGGGGGCAGCAUGGGAAGGCGUGGGAAGGGCCGAAGGGGGUUCUCACCUCGGCUCGACGACUUCGUCGGUCGCUGUUGAGGCGUCUUAUGAUGCAGCCUGGUGCUCCUCUACACGAUGGUGACAACGAGCUCCUCGGGUUAGAGGCUUAGAGCAGUUUUGCAAGCGGCAGCCUCCGAUGUGGAUGCGUGAGCUCAGGAGCAGCGACACAGACAGAAGCUACGCCCUUCCGGUCGGACACGAACGGCACCAGAAACAGCAGCAAGCCAGCAACCAACCCGCAAGAGAAGAAGGAGGUAUGGCAGGGGGGCGCAUCGACCUAGUCCGGCUUGACCUCGUCCUCCUGCGGCUUCCUCGUGACGAGAGCUCGCGGCGCUGCCUGCCUUGCUGUCGGCGCCAUGGUGAAGAGCUGGGCCACGCCUUGCUAUGAGGUAGCAAUCAAGAGGAGAAGAUAUGUGGGAGAAGCCGGCCUUCCUUCGGUGCCCGGUGCCGGAGGAGAGAUGGGGCGGCGGCGGCGGCGGCAACCCUAGCUUCGGGAAGUGGAAAGGCAAAAGGAGAGAGGAGGCUGCGGUGAGAGAUGAAAAAGAGCCCCUGCCGG